GUGCCAGCCGCCGCGGUAAUACGGAGGAUCCAAGCGUUAUCCGGAAUCAUUGGGUUUAAAGGGUCCGUAGGCGGGUGUGUCAGUCAGUGGUGAAAGUCUGCAGCUCAACUGUAGAACUGCCAUUGAUACUGCAUACCUUGAGUAAUUAUGAAGUGGUUAGAAUAUGUAGUGUAGCGGUGAAAUGCAUAGAUAUUACAUAGAAUACCGAUUGCGAAGGCAGAUCACUAAUAAUUUACUGACGCUGAUGGACGAAAGCGUAGGUAGCGAACAGGAUUAGAUACCCCUGUAGUCC
rnacentral:rRNA from 1 species